GUACACCUGUUGCAGGUAGAGAAGCAUUGCUACAGAUGGAUGAUCUUUGAAGUUCCCAAACCUAAGAUUCUGUGUGUGGUGGAAAGUGAAACGGGAAAAGGAGAUUGGAGUUAAACUAGAAGACUUUCAAAUUCAGUUCUAAAGACUUGAACAUCUGGAAGUUCUCAGUUCACAUACUGCUGAAGCCCAGCUUGAAGGAUUUUGAGCAUAACCUUGCUAGCGUGUGAAGGUCUCAGGUGGUCCGUCUCCUAACCUUGAUGAGUCUCUCUGGUCCCUUUAAGCUGGCCUCGGGUGGUUUCAUGGCUGCUCCUCCCUUGAUUAGCAACUGCUCGAAUUUGCUUUUUGGAACUCAGAACAUGAAGACUUUCUGAGCAGAUUGUCAUCAAAAGAUCAGCAGACUUUUUCAAAAAUGUCAAAUCACAUAUAAGUUUCUCACAAGUGAUGAAAUCACUGAUACCGCAAGUUUCCAAUUAACAGGACUAUACAAGGAAUUACUUCCUUUACACUUUGGACUCCAUAGCUUGUGUUCGGAAUCCCAGUGGUCUCCACUGACAUUGAAGUCAGAGCUCGAAAAUACCACCAGGUGGCGCCAAUACCACUUUAAUAGAUUGAGAAAUGGCCAAGCUUGUUUCUAAUAAACAUAAAUCCUUCCAAUUUUUUUUAAAGAAUUUUUAAAAUUUCUUUCUUUCUUUACUGUUCUGGGUCUUUGUUUCUGCGUGGGCUUUUCUCUAGUUGAGGUGAGCAGGGGCUAUUCUCUAGGUGUGGUGGCUUUGGCUUCUCCUUAGGGUGGUUUCUCUUGUUGCAGAGAGGGGGGCUCAGUAGUUGUGGCUCACGGGCUUAGCUGCAUGUGGGAUAUUCCUGUACCAGGGGUGUAACCUGUGUGCCCUGCAUUGGAAGGCGGAUUCAUAACCACUGGACUACCUGGAAAGUCCUGUCCAAAUUUUAAAGUUCCUAAUAGAUGUAUCUGAAAGUUCUGCAAAGUCUAGCUCUAGUUACAGAGGAGAUCAGGUAUUACUUGAGGAAAAAGUAGGUAGAAUGUUAAAUGCAUCUCCUUGACAUGCAUGCUGACC
ensembl:lncRNA